AUGCUAAAUUGUUGGCCAUGAAACUAAUGUGCCGGGGUUCUUUACACUGAUGCCAGCUAGCUACCCUAUUCUGGAUCUUUUGCAGCUGUAUUACCUCAUCCCAAGCUGUCAAGGUCGGGCCACCUGGGGACCCCACCUAAGUUAUGGGUGCUCCAGGAAGCACUGAUGACAGCACAGCAGGUGGCAUGCUGCCCUCUGAGUCACAACAGAGAAGUCUGUCACCACUGGGUACUGGC
rnacentral:lncRNA from 1 species